rnacentral:rRNA from 1 species
AUGGAGGAGACGCGACACCUCGUCGGAGUCGGACCAGCGCGUGCUAAGAAGGCCAGGGACGCACGGUCUGAGGAAUCCGACGACAUGGCGACCAAGAGCAAGACCUACUGCAGCGCCGCCGCUGCCGCGUCGGAGGAGGAGUCUCGUCGCCUCCGUGAACCCGAAUCAGCGGCUAGGCCUUUCGUGCUGCCUGGUCCGGCUGAUGACGAAGCAAAGUCAAGGUGGGCGGCGCCUGGCCGCCGCCGCCGCGCGUGCAACUGGCUGCGGCUGCUGUUCCGUUCGCCUCCUCUCCAUCCUCCCCCCGACUUCAGGCCUAAGAUGUCACGUUCGGAGAUAAAAGCUCUGAAUCACGAUACCAUGCUGCAAUGCCUUCAGCUGUACAACGCCGCCCAUCCGGGCGAUGAGUAUGAACCUGCUCCUGGUAAGGUGACCAGACGCGGCAAGCUUGACAAUUACGGUUUUUGGACUCAUGGCAACUUUGUGGCUCGUCGGAAGUGCUCUGGCUGCUUGUCCUUCGUGCCCGCUCCGCGAACUCUCUUCUUUUUUGAGCUCAUUGAUAGAGGUGAUGACGAUGAAGUUCUCACAUGCAUCCCCCUAGAUGAACCAGUUACUGAAGCCUACGUUUUCCUUGGAAUCCCUCUUGGGCGGGGCACCCGGCGUAAUGGUGAAUCGGACUGUGUUUGCAAGACAUGCUACCGUCGAUUUCAUGUCCCACAUGCUGGUCUGACGAGGAAAUGUGGAUGUGAAGAUAGCAAGGUGGAGAGGGUAUGUAAAAUGUGCUAUCUUGACGCCGAUGUGUUGCAUCCCUUCCGAGGAGGAUUCCGUUUUGGCCAUCACCAAGAGAUCUUUGAAAAGCGUUUUUGCUCCUACUACUGA